UACGGAAGGGGCAAGCGUUGUUCGGAAUCAUUGGGCGUAAAGGGCGCGUAGGUGGUCCUGUAUGUCUACCGUGAAAGCGUACGGCUCAACCGUAUUUUGUCGGUAGAAACUGCAGGACUUGAGGCUGGGAGGGGCUGGUGGAAUUCCCUGUGUAGCGGUGAAAUGCGUAGAUAUCUGGAGGAACACCGGUGGCGAAGGCGGCGUUCUGGACUGUUUCUGACACUGAAAAACGAAAGCCAGGGGAGCAAACGGG
rnacentral:rRNA from 1 species